UACGUAGGGUGCGAGCGUUGUCUGGAAUUAUUGGGCGUAAAGAGCUCGUAGGCGGUGUGUCGCGUCGGCCGUGAAAACCUGGGGCUUAACUCUGGGCGUGCGGUCGAUACGGGCAUCACUGGAGUUCGGCAGGGGAGACUGGAAUUCCUGGUGUAGCGGUGAAAUCCGCAGAUAUCAGGAAGAACACCAGUGGCGAAGGCGGCUACCUGGACCAGCACUGACACUGAGGCACGAAAGCGUGGGGAGCAAACAGG
rnacentral:rRNA from 1 species